UACGUAGGGGGCAAGCGUUGUCCGGAUUUAUUGGGCGUAAAGAGCUCGUAGGUGGUUCGGUAAGUCGGAUGUGAAAUCUCCAGGCUCAACCUGGAGGGGUCAUUCGAUACUGCCGUGACUAGAGGUCGGUAGGGGAGUGUGGAAUUCCUGGUGGAGCGGUGAAAUGCGCAGAUAUCAGGAGGAACACCGGUGGCGAAGGCGGGUCUCUGGGCCGUAACUGACGCUGAGGAGCGAAAGCAUGGGGAGCGAACAGG
rnacentral:rRNA from 1 species